GACGAACGCUGGCGGCGUGCUUAACACAUGCAAGUCGAACGGAAAGGCCCUGCUUUUGUGGGGUGCUCGAGUGGCGAACGGGUGAGUAACACGUGAGUAACCUGCCCUUGACUGUGGGAUAACUUCAGGAAACUGGGGCUAAUACCGGAUAGGAGCUCCUGCUGCAGGGUGGGGGUGGGAAAGUUUCGGCGGUUGGGGAUGGACUCGCGGCUUAUCAGCUUGUUGGUGGGGUAGUGGCUUACCAAGGCUUUGACGCGUAGCCGGCCUGAGAGGGUGACCGGCCCCAUUGGGACUGAGCUACGGCCCAGACUCCUACGGGAGGCAGCAGUGGGGUAUAUUGCACAAUGGGCUGAAGCCUGAUGUAGCCCAGCAGCGUCCGGGAUGUCGUCCUUCGGGUUGUAAUCCGCUUUCGCCUGUGACGAAGCGUUAGUGACGGUAAUGGGUAAAGAAGCACCGGCUAACUCCGUG
rnacentral:rRNA from 1 species